GUGCAGGGCGGCAGCUAUACAUGCAGUCGAGCGGACAGAAGGGAGCUUGCUCCCGGAUGUUGGCGGCGGACGGGUGAGUAACACGUGGGUAACCUGCCUGUAAUACUGGGAUAACUCCGGGAAACCGGAGCUAAUACCGGAUAGUUCCUUGAACCGCAUGGUUCAAGGAUGAAAGACGGUUUCGGCUGUCACUUACAGAUGGACCCGCGGCGCAUUAUCUAGUUGGUGGGGUAAUGGCUCACCAAGGCGACGAUGCGUACCCGACCUGAGAGGGUGAUCGGCCACACUGGGACUGAGACACGGCCCAUACUCCUACGGGAGGCAGCAAUAGGGAAUCGUUCCGACAAUUGGACGAAAGUCUGACGGAGCCAACGCCGCGUGAGUGAUGAAGGUUUUCGGAUCGUAAAGCUCUGUUGUUAAGGAAGAACAAGUGCGAGAGUAACUGCUCGCACCUUGACGGUACCUAAACCAGAAAGCCACGGCUAAUCUACGUGCCAGCAGCCGCGGUAAUACGUAGGGUGGCAAGCGUUGUCCGAGAAUUAUUGGGCGUAAAGGGCUCGCAGGCUGGUUUCUAUAAGUCUGAUGUGAAAGCCCCCCGGCUCAACCGGGGAGGGUCAUUGGAAACUGGGAAACUUGAGUGCAGAAGAGGAGAGUGGAAUUCCACGUGUAGCGGUGAAAUGCGUAGAGAUGUGGAGGAACACCAGUGGCGAAGGCGACUCUCUGGUCUGUAACUGACGCUGAGGAGCGAAAGCGUGGGGAGCGAACAGGAUUAGAUACCCUGGUAGUCCACGCCGUAAACGAUGAGUGCUAAGUGUUAGGGGGUUUCCGCCCCUUAGUGCUGCAGCUAACGCAUUAAGCACUCCGCCUGGGGAGUACGGUCGCAAGACUGAAACUCAAAGGAAUUGACGGGGGCCCGCACAAGCGGUGGAGCAUGUGGUUUAAUUCGAAGCAACGCGCAAGAACCUUACCAGGUCUUGACAUCCUCUGACAACCCUAGAGAUAGGGCUUUCCUUUCGGGGACAGAGUGACAGGUGGUGCAUGGUUGUUGUCAGCUCGUGUCGUGAGAUGUUGGGUUAAGUCCCGACAACGAGCCGCUACCCCUCUGAUUUUAGUUGCCAGCAUUCAGUUGGGGCACUCUCAAGGUGACUGCCG
rnacentral:rRNA from 1 species